rnacentral:lncRNA from 1 species
UUAUCAUGGUUUCCCUUGGAUUACUUGUACACAUGCAUUUACUACUUACAAAUAUCACAUUAGAGAAAUUCUAAGAAAAUACUAUGAAAAAAAACUUGUUUACAACCCAAGAUAGGCAUGAACCAUAACAUCAUCUUAGAGGCAUGACCUCAUCUAGAGAACCAAACGACCUAAGGAUCGUGAACCCAAGAAUCGAUGAUCCGCGGCUAGUAGACCAACAUACCCGACCUAGAAUGGAACAAGAGUGCCACACAAGGUAACAACAAGACAAACAUCCACUGCGAAGGCAUGCGAAGGCAUGAACAACAGCUAGCAACAACGCGACACGUGCGUGCUACCAAGAUAAUGACCACAAGUGCCACAGGGACAAGUCCACCAUCAGCCAUGAGCCGGCACCACUAGCAUGAGUGUAAGCACGAUGUCACCGAGCAACGAGACCCUAGCCGAUGCCAUGAGAUCGACGGCCACCCUGGUCAAAGAAGGAGGACCGACGGGUGAAUGAGCAAGAACUAGGGGAGCACGAGUCGCACCGCAGCGAGGAUGACACCAUCCACGACCAACGACCUGGGCAGAAGGAGAGGAAAAUGGUUAUUGGGUAACGUACCACGAAAUAAAAAAAGAUUUCCGUAUGUACAAACACACCCGCGAACACUAUGAACUAUGAAGAUGCAUGGAUAGAUAAAUCUCACCAACAAGAACGCAUAGGAGAUGAAGAUUUGCAUAUUCCGGCAGCUGGG